CUACGGGUGGCUGCAGUGGGGAAUAUUGGACAAUGGACCAAAAGUCUGAUCCAGCAAUUCUGUGUGCACGAUGACGGUUUUCGGAUUGUAAAGUGCUUUCAACAGGGAAGAAGUUCUGACGGUACCUGUAGAAGAAGCGACGGCUAAAUACGUGCCAGCAGCCGCGGUAAUACGUAUGUCGCAAGCGUUAUCCGGAAUUAUUGGGCAUAAAGGGCAACUAGGCGGCUUAGUAAGUCUGAUGUGAAAAUGCGGGGCUCAACUCCGUAUUGCGUUGGAAACUACUAAGCUAGAGUAUUGGAGAGGUAGGCGGAACUACAUGUGUAGAGGUGAAAUUCGUAGAUAUAUGUAGGAAUGCCGAUGACGAAGGUAGCUUACUGGACAAUUACUGACGCUGAAGUGCGAAAGCUAGGGGAGCAAACAGGAUUAGAUACCCCAGUAGUC
rnacentral:rRNA from 1 species